UGGCGGCGUGCCUAACACAUGCAAGUCGAACGCGAAAGUCCCGCAAGGGAUGAGUAGAGUGGCAAACGGGUGAGUAACGCGUGGGUGACCUGCCGUCGAGUGGGGGAUAACGUUCCGAAAGGGACGCUAAUACCGCAUGACAUCCUGCCUUUGAAGAGGCGGAGAUCAAAGCCGGGGAUCGCAAGACCUGGCGCUUGGCGAGGGGCCCGCGUCUGAUUAGCUAGUUGGUGGGGUAACGGCUCACCAAGGCAACGAUCAGUAUCCGGCCUGAGAGGGCGGACGGACACACUGGGACUGAGACACGGCCCAGACUCCUACGGGAGGCAGCAGUGGGGAAUUGUUCGCAAUGGGCGCAAGCCUGACGACGCAACGCCGCGUGGAGGAUGAAGACCUUCGGGUCGUAAACUCCUUUCGAUCGAGACGAACGGCUUCCGGGUGAACAAUCCGGAAGAGUGACGGUACCGAGAGAAGAAGCCCCGGCUAACUCCGUGCCAGCAGCCGCGGUAAUACGGGGGGGGCAAGCGUUGUUCGGAAUUACUGGGCGUAAAGGGCUCGUAGGCGGCCAACUAAGUCAGACGUGAAAUCCCUCGGCUUAACCGGGGAACUGCGUCUGAUACUGGAUGGCUUGAAUCCGGGAGAGGGAUGCGGAAUUCCAGGUGUAGCGGUGAAAUGCGUAGAUAUCUGGAGGAACACCGGUGGCGAAGGCGGCAUCCUGGACCGGCAUUGACGCUGAGGA
rnacentral:rRNA from 1 species